CCUACGGGAGGCAGCAGUGGGGAAUAUUGGACAAUGGGCGAAAGCCUGAUCCAGCCAUGCCGCGUGUGUGAAGAAGGUCUUCGGAUUGUAAAGCACUUUAAGUUGGGAGGAAGGGCAGUAAGUUAAUACCUUGCUGUUUUGACGUUACCAACAGAAUAAGCACCGGCUAACUUCGUGCCAGCAGCCGCGGUAAUACGAAGGGUGCAAGCGUUAAUCGGAAUUACUGGGCGUAAAGCGCGCGUAGGUGGUUCGUUAAGUUGGAUGUGAAAGCCCCGGGCUCAACCUGGGAACUGCAUCCAAAACUGGCGAGCUAGAGUAUGGCAGAGGGUGGUGGAAUUUCCUGUGUAGCGGUGAAAUGCGUAGAUAUAGGAAGGAACACCAGUGGCGAAGGCGACCACCUGGGCUAAUACUGACACUGAGGUGCGAAAGCGUGGGGAGCA
rnacentral:rRNA from 1 species